rnacentral:misc_RNA from 1 species
GAUGAAGAACGCAGCGAAAUGCGAUAAGUAAUGUGAAUUGCAGAAUUCAGUGAAUCAUCGAAUCUUUGAACGCACAUUGCGCCCGCCAGUAUUCUGGCGGGCAUGCCUGUUCGAGCGUCAUUUCAACCAUCAAGCCCCCCGGCUUGUGUUGGGGACCUGCGGCUGCCGCAGGCCCUGAAAAGCAGUGGCGGGCUCGCUGUCACACCGAGCGUAGUAGCAUACAUCUCGCUCUGGGCGUGCUGCGGGUUCCGGCAGUUAAACCACCUUCAUAACCCAAGGUUGACCUCGGAUCAGGUAGGAAGACCCGCUGAACUUAAGCAUAUCAAUAAGCGGAGGA